rnacentral:misc_RNA from 1 species
GAUGAAGAACGCAGCGAAAUGCGAUAAGUAAUGUGAAUUGCAGAAUUCAGUGAAUCAUCGAAUCUUUGAACGCACAUCGCGCCCCCUGGUAUUCCGGGGGGCAUGCCUGUCCGAGCGUCAUUACAACCCUCAAGCUCAGCUUGGUGUUGGGCCCCGCCGCCCCGGCGGGCCCUAAAGUCAGUGGCGGUGCCGUCCGGCUCCGAGCGUAGUAAUUCUUCUCGCUCUGGAGGUCCGGUCGUGUGCUCGCCAGCAACCCCCAAUUUUUUUCAGGUUGACCUCGGAUCAGGUAGGGAUACCCGCUGAACUUAAGCAUAUCAAUAAGCGGAAGA